CAACUUUCAACAACGGAUCUCUUGGCUCUCGCAUCGAUGAAGAACGCAGCGAAGCAGGAUUGAAAAGUUCAUUGCAGAUUCAGUGAAUCAUCGAAUCUUUGAACGCACCUUGCGCCCCUUGGCAUUCCGAGGGGCACACCCGUUUGAGUGUCGUGA
rnacentral:rRNA from 1 species